rnacentral:tRNA from 1 species
GCCCUGGUGGUGGAAUUGGUAGACACAAGGGAUUUAAAAUCCCUCGGCGUUCGCGCUGUGCCGAUUCAAGUCCGGCCCGGGGCACCA